GACGAACGCUGGCGGCGUGCUUAACACAUGCAAGUCGAACGGAAAGGCCCUGCUUUUGUGGGGUGCUCGAGUGGCGAACGGGUGAGUAACACGUGGGUAACCUGCCCUUGACUUUGGGAUAACUUCAGGAAACUGGGGCUAAUACCGGAUAGGAGCUCCUGCUGCAUGGUGGGGGUUGGAAAGUUUCGGCGGUUGGGGAUGGACUCGCGGCUUAUCAGCUUGUUGGUGGGGUAGUGGCUUACCAAGGCUUUGACGGGUAGCCGGCCUGAGAGGGUGACCGGCCACAUUGGGACUGAGAUACGGCCCAGACUCCUACGGGAGGCAGCAGUGGGGAAUAUUGCACAAUGGGCGGAAGCCUGAUGCAGCAACGCCGCGUGCGGGAUGACGGCCUUCGGGUUGUAAACCGCUUUCGCCUGUGACGAAGCGUGAGUGACGGUAAUGGGUAAAGAAACACCGGCUAACUACGU
rnacentral:rRNA from 1 species